rnacentral:rRNA from 1 species
GAUGAACGCUGGCGGCGUGCUUAACACAUGCAAGUCGAACGGUGAAGGCGGAGCUUGCUCUGCUGGAUCAGUGGCGAACGGGUGAGUAACACGUGAGCAAUCUGCCCCUGACUCUGGGAUAAGCGCUGGAAACGGCGUCUAAUACUGGAUACGAGCUGCUAAGGCAUCUUCAGCAGCUGUAAAGAACUUCGGUCAGGGAUGAGCUCGCGGCCUAUCAGCUUGUUGGUGAGGUAACGGCUCACCAAGGCGUCGACGGGUAGCCGGCCUGAGAGGGUGACCGGCCACACUGGGACUGAGAGAGGGCCCAGACUGCAACGGGAGGAAGCGGCGGGGAAUAUUGCACAAUGGGCGGAAGCCUGAUGAAGCAACGCCGCGUGAGGGACGACGGCCUUCGGGUUGUAAACCUCUUUUAGCAGGGAAGCAGCGAAAGUGACGGUACCUGCAGAGAAAGCGACGGCUAACUACGUG